rnacentral:rRNA from 1 species
GACGAACGCUGGCGGCGUGCUUAACACAUGCAAGUCGAACGGAGAUUAUUUUAAGCUUGCUUUUGAUGAUCUUAGUGGCAAACGGGUGAGUAACGCGUAGGCAACCUACCCUUCAGUGGGGGACAACAGAGGGAAACUUCUGCUAAUACCGCAUACGGCCUUGUACUGGGAUGUACGAGGAGAAAGGAUUUAUUCGCUGAGGGAUGGGCCUGCGGCCUAUCAGGUAGUUGGUGGGGUAAAGGCCUACCAAGCCUGCGACGGGUAGCCGGACUGAGAGGUCGACCGGCCACACUGGAACUGAGACACGGCCCAGACUCCUACGGGAGGCAGCAGUGGGGAAUCUUGCGCAAUGGGCGAAAGCCUGACGCAGCAACGCCGCGUGAG